AUAUUUAAGGCCAGGAAAUCUCCCGAAAAGAAGAUGGGGAAGAAGGCUGUGAGAUGAUUACCCGGCUGACAAAUGCAACUGCAGAAAAUUGGUUCAAACUUGUUAAAGUUGACGACUUCUACAGACAAAAGCAUUUCCGCCCAGACGUUUUUGCUAGAAAGCAGCAUUCCAACAUGAAAGGGAGGCAAAGAAUGUUUCUGGAAAGCUUUCUUAGGAAGCAAGAUGGCAAGCAGACAGAGAUGAAGCGUGGACAAACAAAAAGGAUUUUGCGGUCUUUGAACGAGAGU